AGCGAGAUUUCCCCACACCCACCCGGCUUCCCUAGGACAUGUCAAACCUACGAGAUGCCCACAGGAUGGGCAUUUCCCUCCAAAACCUGGCUAAGCCCUUGGCGUUCUUUCCUUCAGGGCAACCGGGUGUUGCAUACAUGUGAGCUGUAUCUAGUCCACGGAGGUUGCCCAGGCUUCGGGUUUCCCACAAAACUCCCCAGGUUGUUCCUCCAGCCUUCUCUCUCUCUCUCUCUCUCUCUCUCUCUCUCUCUUCAGGUGCGCGGGCGGCGAAGGUGCUCUGGAUCUCCAAAAGCCACGCGCGCCGCCCGGAGCUUCUUAGAGGAAGGGCGCGAUCUGACGACGCCAAUUGCGAGCUUUGAAAUCGGUGGAGACCGCAGAUCCCGGAGGUUCUUUUAGACCAACCCUGGCUGCUCAUUUGUCCGCCCGGCGCCGCCGCCACCCCCCCUCCCUCCCCACCCCGCACUUUCCCACCCAAGAAAAAGAGUUGACAUCCCGAGGAAUAAGCAAACGCCUCUUCCUGGAUCGCGCCGUUGCCCACAUCAAGAAGUAUGUCUGGAACACCCUUCCCAAGUGUUUGCCAACUCCGGAGGGAAGAUUAAAACUGGCAGAAAACUGCAGUCGGAAGCGGUCCAAGAAAAGAAAUAUGGGCUGUGUGUGUGGAAAGGGAGCCAACCGAAGCCUGGAAAAACCAAACCAAACCAAACCAACCAAGAAACAAAAAACACAAAACCACCCAAACUCCUUUCCUCUCGCGCGUCAAACCCUUUCCAACUACUGGAGCGUUUGCAAAAACCAAAACUCUUAAAACUGCAGCCCGACUGCAUGCCAAGACAACCAUUAUGCACCCAGUUUCCACAAUCGAUCAUUCCCUGCUGGACACCGUGCGGACGGCGCUGGAAGCCAAGCCGGACGCCGCGCACAGGACUCUGUCAAGCACAAUCGCCCACUCCGGAAUCCGUAAAAAAAAAAAAAACCCUGGCCAAUUCCAGCAGCUAAGAAUCCGGGGGCAAAAAAAAAAGCUGCAAGCGCUUAUCCGUACCUUCUUAAAGCCCCGAACUCUUGUGAGGGGUUUUCCCGUCACCACCGUUAAAUAAAGUAGAAGGCAAAUAUAUAUAUAUAUUUUCUUAUUAAUUUCCGAGCGA